rnacentral:rRNA from 1 species
CCCUUCGAUGUUCUGGGCUGCACGCGCGCUACAAUGGCAACGACAGAGAGCAGGGUUGCAUCGUGAGAUGUGACGAAUCAGUAAUCGUUGUCGUGAUUGGGAUUGAGCGUUGUAAUAUUUGCUCAUGAAAGAGGAAUUCCUCGUAAGCGCGAGUCACUAACUCGUGUUGAAUACGUCUCUGCCCUUUGUACACACCGCCCGUCGCUACUACUGAUUGAACUGGUUUUUGAAGUGUAGGGAUUUGCGCGCAUAGAUUCCCUCGGGGGUCGUUGUAUUGCGAAGAACCACUCUGAAAAAAUCGUUCGAGAAGAAGUAAAAGUCGUAACA